UGCCUUCUUCUCCCGGACGUGGAGCUUUUGGGCCGGAUUGCUGCUCUGCGCCGUAACUGGGGGGGGGCGCUUCGGAAAAGGGAGGAGGGGCGGAAGGACCCCCCCCCUGGAUGUUGCGGGAAAGAAAAGGAGAAUCGGGAGCGAGGACAGAGAGGGCUUGACUUCAGGUGCAGCAGAAUUCCCCAGCCCCCCAAGGAUUUGAGACCCAUCAGCUUUCCUCACCUGGUUUAGCCGGCCGGUUGAAGCCGUUGCUUGAACCCCUGUUGCAUGCUGACAGCUUCUGGAAGCCACAGAAAAGAAAAUUAACAAGAUGCGGAGUGCUGAGGGUGAAAAAAGGGAGUCCGUCCCAGCGGUAGGGAGAAAAUGGCGUCUGGCGGAAGACUGAGAGAGGACUGAAAGUAAGAAAGCAGCCGCCAAGUGAGGUUCGCAGAAAAUCCUUGGUUACUAUGUUCUGAGGUAACGAUUUGUGGGGAAACAACAGAGAGGCAUAGAAGGGGAGGAAAAACUUCUUUGUAUCGUCUUGGUUGAAGCGUCCUGUGCCAGGGGUCGGAGAGUGAGCUUAAAAUGCCCACCAGUGAACACCCGUGAACUCUGCUUUUUUCUUGCUG